rnacentral:ribozyme from 1 species
AAAUCUAAAAAAUCAAUUAAAUUUUCAAAUAUUUUAUUAAUUUUUUAAUUUUAAAUUUUUUAAUUUUUAAUUUUAAUUUCUCAGGCUUUAGAAGGUUCCUACAAACUAAGUCCAGCGUCAGAAAAAUCGGGGUCAGCCUUACUUAAAGGUCUAGAAAAGUUAACAACACUUUCAUUUUGAUUACCCAUUUUUUUUUUAUA